AUGGGGGGGUGCCUAUACAUGCAAGUCGAGCGGAGAAUGUGGAGCUUGCUCCCAUUCUUAGCGGCGGACGGGUGAGUAACACGUGGGCAACCUGCCCUGCAGAUCGGGAUAACUCCGGGAAACCGGUGCUAAUACCGAAUAGUUUUUUGCCCCUCCUGGGGCGGAACGGAAAGACGGUUUCGGCUGUCACUGCAGGAUGGGCCCGCGGCGCAUUAGCUAGUUGGUGGGGUAAUGGCCCACCAAGGCGACGAUGCGUAGCCGACCUGAGAGGGUGAUCGGCCACACUGGGACUGAGACACGGCCCAGACUCCUACGGGAGGCAGCAGUAGGGAAUCUUCCGCAAUGGACGCAAGUCUGACGGAGCAACGCCGCGUGAGUGACGAAGGUUUUCGGAUCGUAAAACUCUGUUGUGAGGGAAGAACAAGUACCAAGUAACUACUGGUACCUUGACGGUACCUCACCAGAAAGCCACGGCUAACUACGUGCCAGCAGCCGCGGUAAUACGUAGGUGGCAAGCGUUGUCCGGAAUUAUUGGGCGUAAAGCGCGCGCAGGCGGUCCCUUAAGUCUGAUGUGAAAGCCCACGGCUCAACCGUGGAGGGUCAUUGGAAACUGGGGGACUUGAGUGCAGAAGAGGAAAGUGGAAUUCCAUGUGUAGCGGUGAAAUGCGUAGAGAUGUGGAGGAACACCAGUGGCGAAGGCGACUUUCUGGUCUGUAACUGACGCUGAGGCGCGAAAGCGUGGGGAGCAAACAGGAUUAGAUACCCUGGUAGUCCACGCCGUAAACGAUGAGUGCUAAGUGUUAGGGGGGUUCCGCCCCCUAUUGCUGCAGCUAACGCAUUAAGCACUCCGCCUGGGGAGUACGGCCGCAAGGGUGAAACUCAAAGGAAUUGAACGGGGGCCCGCACAAGCGGGUGAAACAUGUGGUUUAAUUCCAAGCAACGCGAAGAACCUUACCAGGGCUUGACCUCCCGCUGACCGCCCAAGAAACUAGGCUUUCCCUUCGGGAACACGGUGACGGUGGUGGCUGGUUGGGGUCACCUUCUGUCCUGGAAUGUUGGGUAAAUCCCGCAACGAGCGCACCCCUUGACUUAUUGGCCGCCCUCCAUUUGGGCCCCUAAGGGGACUGGCGGGGAAAACCCGAAGGGAAGGGGGGGAUAACCUCAAAUCUCCUGGCCCCUUUUUAACCGGGGCCUAACCAGUGCCUCAAAUGGGGGGGGCAAAGGGGGGGACCACCGCCGCCGGGGGGGGACAAAUUCCACAAAACACCCCUCUCUCAUUUUUGAAAAUGACGGGGGCCCCACUACUCCCCUCCUCAGAAAAAGCCCCAGAACACACCCUAUAAUAAAUUCAAGGGGGGGAAAAAAAACAACA
rnacentral:rRNA from 1 species